rnacentral:misc_RNA from 1 species
UAAUUCAAGUUUAUUUAUUAUUUAAAUAAUAAUAAUUAUCAUUGUUGUUAAUUGAAUAAUUCAAGAGGAUAUUAUUAUUGAAAACAAGUGCAAGGCUGAUAUGAGACGGAAAAAUAUCGUGAAAAUAAUCAACACCGGUAUUGUCAGUGAGAUCAAAAGUAAUUGAAGUAUUAUAAAAAAAAAAAUAAUUUAUUAAUUAUUUUGAGUGGUCACUUGCUGUGAAAUAUUUUUCGCUGUUGGACUUUAUAAACAUUAUAGCAGAGUUCGCCUGCGGCACGUGCCAGGAGUGGACCGAAUAAAUGACGUAAAUCCGAGGAACAGAAAGGGACGUUACGCUAAUUCGCUGGUCCCCUACCCCUCUAUCCUCCUCUCUCCUUUUAUAUUUAUCCCAUCUUUCUCUUUUCCUCUCUCUUUCUAUUUCUCUUCUCUCCUACUCUCAACUUAAAACUCAAAACUGUCCUGCUCUGUUUUCCGCAACCUGGACUUAAAUCUCACGACCUUACAACCCAAAUCGACCUUUCGACCCGUCAGUAUACCGACACGUCGUCGCACCCACUUCUCCAUCCCUUGCUUUUUAUCCUCGACCAUCAUAACCCAAUUCGCACAUCCUUUUUUCCCACAUAGCCGCACUGCAGCAGACACCAGAUUACUGACAUACUGAAUCACGUCCAGUUGAUACCACAUCAGUCGUCUCCUCAAAACACCAACAGUCUCAGCCAUCGACACGUCAAGUGAUAUUGAUAGAUCAACAUAUCAGUCUAUCAGCGGAGGAUUUACUUAAAUAACAAUAAAAGUAUCUAUUGUGCACUUGCUAAGUUACGGCUUGGUAUAUUUGAAGCUUUGACAGUUGAGAGCUUUGGCUAAAAACUCACGAAUCUUGAAUAAUUAUUGUGCGAGUGUCCAUUGUAUUUUCUUAGCCUACUCCGACUUACGGCCUAGAUAAAAUUGAGCAACGAGACACAAUAAUAAAUCUAAAAGUCGAUAUAUCUGUUAAUGGAUUAACGACAAACGACAAAUUAUAAUUGAAUAUACCUCACGAUAUUUACUAUCAACAAAGUGAGUUUAAAUAUAAAAUCCAAUACUAAGGAUAAAGUAUAAAGAGUGAUUGAAGAAUAAUUCAAACUGAAUAUAUUGAAAAAUAAAUCAUCGGGUGUAAACGGCAAUAAAACAAUUAUAAGUAACCGGCGCGUGUUCUAAUUUGACGACGUCCGGAAAAGUUACGAGAGAAAAAAGGUACCAACCUGAGGAUUCGAGAGCUAUCAAAUAAACACGAGGAUAAUAAGAUGGCAAUGGUCAACAUGAACAACCUGCUUAAUGGCAAGGAUUCACGCUGGCUACAGCUUGAGGUCUGCCGAGAGUUUCAGCGCAACAAGUGCACCAGGCCUGACACGGAGUGCAAAUUCGCUCAUCCACCAGCCAACGUCGAGGUCCAGAACGGACGAGUAACAGCCUGCUACGACAGUAUCAAGGGACGAUGCAACCGAGAAAAACCGCCAUGCAAAUAUUUCCAUCCGCCACAGCAUUUGAAGGAUCAGUUACUAAUAAAUGGCCGUAAUCAUUUAGCCUUGAAAAAUGCCCUCAUGCAACAAAUGGGACUAUCACCGGGACAAGGGCUAGUGCCUGGUCAGGUGCCCACAGUGGCCACCAAUCCGUACCUGACUGGAAUGCCGCAGGUGAAUAACACAUACACGCCGUACUUCACGCCAAGCCCGAUAAUGCCAGCGAUAAUGGGACCAGCCGACCCUACGGGGGUUGGUAGCCCGUUGGGAGUGGUGCAGCAGACGGUGGCGAUGCCGCAGAAGAUGCCACGUACCGAUCGUCUCGAGAUGGAAUCAAAGUCCUUCGGAUCAUUCUACUACGAGAAUUUUGCCUUUCCGGGAAUGGUACCAUACAAGCGUCCCGCGGGCGACAAAUCCGGAAUGCCAGUGUAUCAAGCAACUGGCGCGACGACCUAUCAACAAUUAAUGCAGUUGCCGCAGCCCUUCGUGCCUGUGUCAUUUACUGGACACCCUCCCGGUGUGCCAAGAUUUUAAUCGACAACUGUGCAACCGUCCCGCCUGUAAAUUCAUUCAUCUCUAUGACGGAAAUGUGGAGGUGGUGGAUAACCGCGUGACCGUGUGCAGAGACGCCGUAAAAGGUGCCUGUAUGCGGCCCCAGUGUAAAUAUUACCACAUACCGGUGGCAUUGCCGCCGGCACCCUUGAUGGCUAUCAGCGCUUCCUCAAGCUCCUAGUCUACACUACUACGUCUACGUCUACUUCAACUACUACUACUACUACUACUACUCCUCCUACUCCUACUCCUACUCCUAAUACUUAUACUACUACUACUAUUACAACUAUUAAUACUAAAAUACUACUACAAGUUAUUAAUAUUACUAGACACAGUAUAUAACAUAAUACAUACAACAUACAUGCUACAUGUUACACAAGUCGGUACACUUUGGCGUGAGGAACGAAUUAAGUGAGGGACUGGCUACACAUACACUCGACGAGAAAAUGAUGCCGUUGUACAAGGAAUUGAGGAUCUAUACCAAUCUACAGAGAUCCUCCUAA